GACGAACGCUGGCGGCGUGCUUAACACAUGCAAGUCGAACGGAAAGGCCCUGCUUUUGUGGGGUGCUCGAGUGGCGAACGGGUAAGUAACAAGUGAGUAACCUGCCAUUGACUUUGGGAUAACUUCAGGAAACUGGGGCUAAUACUGGAUAGGAGCUCCUGCUGCAUGGGGGGGGGUGGACCGGUUGGGGGGUUGGGGAUGGACUCGCGGCUUAUCAGCUUGUUGGUGGGGAAGUGGCUUACGAGGGUCUUGAGGGGUGGCCGGCCUGGGGGGUGGACCGGCACAAUGGGAACGGGGUACGGGCCAGACCCCCACGGGGGGCAAGCGUGGGGAAUAUUGGCACAAUGGCGCGAGCCCGAUGGCGGCAAGGCGGGUGCGGGAUGAAGGGCUUUGGGUUGUAAAACGCCUUUCGCAGGGAAGAAGCUUUUUGUGACGGUAACUGCAGAAGAAGCACCGGCUAACUACGUG
rnacentral:rRNA from 1 species